GCUAAUACCGCAUAUUGCCGAGAGGUGAAAGAUUUAUCGCUACAAGAUGAGCCCAUGCAAGAUUAGCUAGUUGGUGAGGUAAAUGCUUACCAAGGUUACGAUCUUUAGCUGGUCUGAGAGGAUGAUCAGCCACACUGGAACUGAGACACGGUCCAGACUCCUACGGGAGGCAGCAGUGGGGAAUAUUGGACAAUGGGCGAAAGCCUGAUCCAGCGACGCCGCGUGAGUGAAGAAGGCCUUCGGGUUGUAAAGCUCUUUCGGUAGGGAAGAUAAUGACGGUACCUACAAAAGAAGCUCCGGCUAACUUCGUGCCAGCAGCCGCGGUAAUACGAAGGGAGCUAGCGUUACUCGGAAUUAUUGGGCGUAAAGCGUACGUAGGCGGCUUAGUAAGUUGGGAGUGAAAUCCUUGGGCUUAACCUAAGAAUUGCUUUCAAAACUACUAAGCUAGAGUAUCAGAGAGGAUAGCGG
rnacentral:rRNA from 1 species